rnacentral:rRNA from 1 species
GAUGAACGCUGGCGGCGUGCUUAACACAUGCAAGUCGAACGGUGAAGGCGGAGCUUGCUCUGCUGGAUCAGUGGCGAACGGGUGAGUAACACGUGAGCAAUCUGCCCCUGACUCUGGGAUAAGCGCUGGAAACGGCGUCUAAUACUGGAUACGAGCUGCGAAGGCAUCUUCAGCAGCUGGAAAGAAUUUCGGUCAGGGAUGAGCUCGCGGCCUAUCAGCUUGUUGGUGAGGUAAUAGCUCACCAAGGCGUCGACGGGUAGCCGGCCUGAGAGGGUGACCGGCCACACUGGGACUGAGACACGGCCCAGACUCCUACGGGAGGCAGCAGUGGGGAAUAUUGCACAAUGGGCGAAAGCCUGAUGCAGCAACGCCGCGUGAGGGACGACGGCCUUCGGGUUGUAAACCUCUUUUAGCAGGGAAGAAGCGAAAGUGACGGUACCUGCAGAAAAAGCGCCGGCUAACUACGUG